GCCGGGCGUGGUGGCGGGCGCCUGUAGUCCCAGCUACUCAGGAGGCUGAGGCAGGAGAAUCGCUUGAACCCGGGCGGUGGAGUUUGCAGUGAGCCGAGAUCGCGCCACUGCACUCCAGUCUGGGUGACAGAGCGAGACUCCGUCUCAA
rnacentral:sRNA from 1 species